UACGUAGGGGGCGAGCGUUGUCCGGAUUUAUUGGGCGUAAAGAGCUCGUAGGCGGCUUAGCAAGUCGGGUGUGAAAACUCCAGGCUCAACCUGGAGACGCCACUCGAGACUGCUAUGGCUAGAGUCCGGUAGGGGACCACGGAAUUCCUGGUGUAGCGGUGAAAUGCGCAGAUAUCAGGAGGAACACCGGUGGCGAAGGCGGUGGUCUGGGCCGGCACUGACGCUGAGGAGCGAAAGCGUGGGGAGCAAACGGG
rnacentral:rRNA from 1 species